rnacentral:rRNA from 1 species
CAGUAGCCACGGUAAAACGAAGGGUGCAAGCGUUACUCGGAAUUACUGGGCGUAAAGCGUGCGUAGGUGGUGGUUUAAGUCCGUUGUGAAAGCCCUGGGCUCAACCUGGGAAUUGCAGUGGAUACUGGGUCACUAGAGUGUGGUAAAGGAUAGUGGAAUUUCCGGUGUAGCAGUGAAAUGCGUAGAGAUCGGAAGGAACAUCUGUGGCGAAGGCGACUAUCUGGGCCAACACUGACACUGAGGCACGAAAGCGUGGGGAGCAAACAGGAUUAGAUACCCCGGUAGUCCCUGUCUCUUAUAC